CUAGCGGCAGGCUUAACACAUGCAAGUCGAGGGGUAUAGUUCUUCGGGACUAGAGACCGGCGCACGGGUGCGUAACGCGUAUGCAAUCUACCUUUUACAGAGGGAUAGCCCAGAGAAAUUUGGAUUAAUACCUCAUAGUAUGCAGAGUUGGCAUCAACACUGCAUUAAAGUCACAACGGUAAAAGAUGAGCAUGCGUCCCAUUAGCUAGUUGGUAAGGUAACGGCUUACCAAGGCUACGAUGGGUAGGGGUCCUGAGAGGGAGAUCCCCCACACUGGUACUGAGACACGGACCAGACUCCUACGGGAGGCAGCAGUGAGGAAUAUUGGACAAUGGGCGCAAGCCUGAUCCAGCCAUGCCGCGUGCAGGAUGACGGUCCUAUGGAUUGUAAACUGCUUUUGCACAGGAAGAAACAACGCUACGUGUAGCGUCUUGACGGUACUGUGAGAAUAAGGAUCGGCUAACUCCGUGCCAGCAGCCGCGGUAAUACGGAGGAUCCAAGCGUUAUCCGGAAUCAUUGGGUUUAAAGGGUCCGUAGGCGGUUUAGUAAGUCAGUGGUGAAAGCCCAUCGCUCAACGGUGGAACGGCCAUUGAUACUGCUAGACUUGAAUUAUUAGGAAGUAACUAGAAUAUGUAGUGUAGCGGUGAAAUGCUUAGAGAUUACAUGGAAUACCAAUUGCGAAGGCAGGUUACUACUAAUGGAUUGACGCUGAUGGACGAAAGCG
rnacentral:rRNA from 1 species